CCUACGGGUGGCAGCAGUGAGGAAUAUUGGUCAAUGGGCGCGAGACUGAACCAGCCAAGUAGCGUGAAGGAUGACUGCCCUAAGGGUUGUAAACUUCUUUUAUAAAGGAAUAAAGUGAGGCACGUGUGCCUUUUUGUAUGUACUUUAUGAAUAAGCAUCGGCUAACUCCGUGCCAGCAGCCGCGGUAAUACGGAGGAUUCGAGCGUUAUCCGGAUUUAUUGGGUUUAAAGGGUGCGUAGGUGGGUUGUUAAGUCAGUUGUUAAAGUUUGGGGCUCAACCGUAAAAUUGCAAUGGAUACUGGCAGCCUUGAGUACGGUUGAGGUAGGCGGAAUGCGCGGUGUAGCGGUGAAAUGCUUAGAUAUCACGAAGAACUCCGAUUGCGAAGGCAGCAUACUAAACUGCCACUGACAUUGAUGCUCGAAAGUGUGGGUAUCAAACAGGAUUAGAUACCCCGGUAGUC
rnacentral:rRNA from 1 species